rnacentral:rRNA from 1 species
GAGACAGCAGCCGCCGCGGUAAUACGUAGGUCCCGAGCGUUGUCCGGAUUUAUUGGGCGUAAAGCGAGCGCAGGCGGUUAGAUAAGUCUGAAGUUAAAGGCUGUGGCUUAACCAUAGUACGCUUUGGAAACUGUUUAACUUGAGUGUAAGAGGGGAGAGUGGAAUUCCAUGUGUAGCGGUGAAAUGCGUAGAUAUAUGGAGGAACACCGGUGGCGAAAGCGGCUCUCUGGCUUGUAACUGACGCUGAGGCUCGAAAGCGUGGGGAGCAAACAGGAUUAGAUACCCCAGUAGUCCCUGUCUCUUAUACA